rnacentral:tRNA from 1 species
GGGCCCGUAGCUCAGUUGGUUAGAGCAGUGGACUCAUAAUCCAUUGGUCGAGUGUUCAAAUCACUCCGGGCCCACCA